UGGAUAGUAGUUCAGAGGUAGAACAGUGGUUCGUGGUCCCACAGGUCGGGGGUUCGAUCCCCUCCUAUCCAA
rnacentral:tRNA from 1 species